GAUGAAGAACGCAGCGAAAUGCGAUAAGUAGUGUGAAUUGCAGAAUUCAGAGAAUCAUCGAAUCUUUGAACGCACAUUGCGCCCUUUGGUAUUCCAAAGGGCAUGCCUGUUCGAGCGUCAUUUGUACCCUCAAGCUUUGCUUGGUGUUGGGCGUCUUGUCUCUAGCUUUGCUGGAGACUCGCCUUAAAGUAAUUGGCAGCCGGCCUACUGGUUUCGGAGCGCAGCACAAGUCGCACUCUCUAUCAGCAAAGGUCUAGCAUCCAUUAAGCCUUUUUUUCAACUUUUGACCUCGGAUCAGGUAGGGAUACCCGCUGAACUUAAGCAUAUCAAUAAGCGGAGGA
rnacentral:misc_RNA from 1 species